GGAUGUGAGGGCGAUCUGGCUACAACAUCUGUCAUCCCAUUGGUCACCAGGGUUGAUUCGGCUGAUCCGGCUGGCUAGGCGGGUGUCCUUCACCACUUCAUGUGCUUUCCUCCCAAAGCUGCGCGCACGGUGGCAGAGGAUGGCCUUACGGGAAUAGAGACGGAAUGGUCCUCAGUUGAGGGUAUAUGAGUAGCUGCGCUCCCCUGCUAGAAUCUCCAAAAAAGCUCUCAAGGUCCAUUUUUUAAUUUACUGAUUAAAUUUUCAUCGUGCCACAUUUUUGCAUGUAGUGAUAUACAUCAA
rnacentral:snRNA from 1 species